CCCUGAUGGAAAUGAAGAAUACAUGACCAGGACAGUGGAGGACGGCCCUGACGGGAAAUGGAAGAUGUGGUGGAAAUGAAGAAUAAAUGCUGCUCCAUCCUACAAAGAAUGUCCACUGUGUUGUUACCAGAUGCUGAGACGGUACAACCUGCUGACUGAUGCAUACCAUAUCAUCAGCCUUGGAUACAAGUUCCUACUCACCCUCUCAGUUACCCAGGUAGAUCCUACUCACCCUCUCAGUUACCCAGGUAGUUCCUACUCACCCUCAGUUACCCAGGUAGUUCCUACUCACCUUCUGUUACCCAGGUAGAUCCUACUCACCCUCAGUUACCCAGGUAGUUCCUACUCACCCUCUCAGUUACCCAGGUAGAUCCUACUCACCCUCUCAGUUACCCAGGUAGAUCCUGCUCACCCUCUGUUACCCAGGUAGUUCCUACUCACCCUCUCAGUUACCCAGCUAGAUCCUACUCACCCUCUGUUACCCAAGUAGUUCCUACUCACCCUCUCAGUUACCCAGGUAGUUCCCACUCACCCUCUCAGUUACCCAGGUAGAUCCUACUCACCCUCUCAGUUACCCAGGUAGCUUGUGAAUGAAGUUUCUCUACCUUAAAGUAUAUCAAGAGCAGGGGCUGGUAGUGAUGUAGCUAG
rnacentral:lncRNA from 1 species